CCUANGGGGGGCUGCAGUGAGGAAUAUUGGUCAAUGGGCGAGAGCCUGAACCAGCCAAGUCGCGUGAAGGAAGAAGGUUCUAUGGAUUGUAAACUUCUUUUGUAGGGGAAUAAAAAGCGGCACGUGUGCCGUAUUGUAUGUACUCUACGAAUAAGGAUCGGCUAACUCCGUGCCAGCAGCCGCGGUAAUACGGAGGAUCCAAGCGUUAUCCGGAUUCAUUGGGUUUAAAGGGUGCGCAGGCGGAAUGAUAAGUCAGUGGUGAAAUCCUACAGCUCAACUGUAGAACUGCCAUUGAUACUGUCGUUCUUGAGUAUAGUUGAAGUGGGUGGAAUGUAUCAUGUAGCGGUGAAAUGCAUAGAUAUGAUACAGAACUCCGAUAGCGAAGGCAACUCACUAAACUAAAACUGACGCUCAUGCACGAAAGCGUGGGGAGCAAACAGGAUUAGAUACCCGGNUANUC
rnacentral:rRNA from 1 species